UAGCCUACGGGACGCAGCAGUAGGGAAUUUUCGUCAAUGGGCGCAAGCCUGAACGAGCGAUGCCGCGUGAGUGAAGAAGGCCUUCGGGUCGUAAAGCUCUGUUGCGGGGGAAAAAAGGCAGCAUCAGGAAAUGGGUGCUGACUGAUGGUGCCCCGCCAGAAAGUCACGGCUAACUACGUGCCAGCAGCCGCGGUAAUACGUAGGUGGCGAGCUUUAUCCGGAAUGAUUGGGCGUAAAGGGUGCGCAGGCGGUCCUGCCAGUCUGGAUUGAACCGCAUGAUCU
rnacentral:rRNA from 1 species